rnacentral:rRNA from 1 species
GCUCAGGAUGAACGCUAGCGGCAGGCUUAACACAUGCAAGUCGAGGGGUAACAGGUCACUUCGGUGAUGCUGACGACCGGCGCACGGGUGAGUAACGCGUAUGGAACCUACCUGAAACAGGGGGAUAGCUUCCGGAAACGGGGAUUAAUACCGCAUACGAUUCAUUUGUGGCCUCACAAAUGGAUAAAAGCUACGGCGGUUUCAGAUGGCCAUGCGUACCAUUAGUUAGUUGGUGAGGUAAAGGCUCACCAAGGCGAUGAUGGUUAGGGGUCCUGAGAGGGUAGUCCCCCACACUGGUACUGAGACACGGACCAGACUCCUACGGGAGGCAGCAGUGAGGAAUAUUGGUCAAUGGGCGCUAGCCUGAACCAGCCAUGCCGCGUGCAGGAAGACGGCCCUACGGGUUGUAAACUGCUUUUCUGCAGGAAGAAUAUAUAGUCUUAGGGGUAUAUUGACGGUACUGCAGGAAUAAGCAUCGGCUAACUCCGUGCCAGCAGCCGCGGUAAUACGGAGGAUGCAAGCGUUAUCCGGAUUCAUUGGGUUUAAAGGGUGCGCAGGCUGUAAGGCAAGCCAGUGGUGAAAGCCCUGGGCUUAACUCAGGGAUUGCCAUUGAAACUGUUUUACUAGAGUGUAGUAGAGGACGGCGGAAUGAGUUGUGUAGCGGUGAAAUGCAUAGAUAUAACUCAGAACACCUAUUGCGUAGGCAGCUGUCUAUACUACAACUGACGCUGAGGCAACGAAAGCGUGGGGAGCGAACAGGAUUAGAUACCCUGGUAGUCCACGCUGUAAACGAUGAUCACUCGUUGUUGGCUACUUAGUAGUCAGUGACCAAGGGAAACCGAUAAGUGAUCCACAUGGGGAGUACGUCGGCAACGAUGAAACUCAAAGGAAUUGACGGGGGCCCGCACAAGCGGAGGAACAUGUGGUUUAAUUCGAUGAUACGCGAGGAACCUUACCUGGGCUUAAAUGCUGGCUGCAUUGGAGGGAAACCUUCAUUUCCUACGGGACCGCCAGCAAGGUGCUGCAUGGUUGUCGUCAGCCCGUGCCGUGAGGUGUCGGGUUAAGUCCCAUAACGAGCGCAACCCCUAUCGCUAGUUGCCAGCAUGUAAUGGUGGGGACUCUAGCGAGACUGCCGGUGUAAACCGGAGGAAGGUGGGGAUGACGUCAAAUCAGCACG